UUUUGAUUGGUUGCAUCGGCUCAUCCGAGUUCGUUGACAUUGUGUGUUCCACUACUCAUUUGGUAUCUUACACAACAUUGUUCAUCUAACUGACUGCAGGGAGCGGUGCCAGUCUUUCGGACCGCAGCUAACAGUGUCUUGGGCAGUCACCACCAUUUUAUGCUCUAUUAUGUACUCAAGAGUCACUUAUCUGUGAAAAAAAUGUCAGCAGAAAAAGCUUUACCAACAGGUGCUGUUGUGCGACAAAUGACCGAAGAUGACGUCCCAGAUAUGAUCAACACUGGAGAUGCAGAGGGCUGGUACAUCCGAUAUCACGACGUCCUUGCACAGUACAUGAUUUCUCCUGAGGGAUGCUUUAUCGCAGAGCUCAAUUGAGAAAACAUUGGUUUCUGCAUGUGUGUAAACUGGGGCGACACGCAGGCAUUUUUGGGGAUGUUCGUGGUGAGGAAGUACUUGAGGGGACAGGGCAUAGGUUCCGCACUAUUUAAACGCUGCUGGGCGUUUAAGGGGAACAGGAACACGGGAUUAUCUUCUCCGGUGGAAAUGGUUGAAGUAUACAAGAGGCUAGGCCUCACGGAAAUCGGCAAGUGGAGGCUUGUGGUGUACGAUGGAAAAAUAGACUCUUCUAAAAUAAAGGCAAAAUAGUUAUCCAAGGGACUUGACAUUAUCCCGUAUGAAGAAACCUUUUUUCGAGAUAUUGUCGAUUACGACACUGCGCUGAACACCGUAGGAUCUCGGGAGAGGUUCAUCAGGUUGUGCCUAGAGAAACCAAGCACGAUGUGUUACGUUGCUCGGGACAACGGUCGAGUGAUUGGUUAUGGAAUCAUCCAACCUUCGAUUCAUGGUUACCGCAUUGCACUACUUUAUUGUGACUCGCCGAACGCAGCAAUGGCCCCUUUGAAGAAGCUUAUAGAGGCUCUUCCUGAGGAGACGCCUGUUGUUGUGUUCUUUGCUCCAGACUGUAACGCGACUGAACUCGCAAAAGAGUUUGACAUGAAAACAUAUUGGGGUCCUUUGCAGAGACUGUUUACAAAAUAUGACCUGUUGAAAAUUAAUCCUGAGAAAAUAUUUCUGACUUUUGAAUGCGAGACAUGUUUCAUUUGAGGAAAAUCAAAUGAAACAGUCUGUGUCAUUUAGCGAUGAAACCUGUUGAGUAUUUGAAACGUAUUUGUGUAUUGAAAUUAUUAAAACAAUUGUAAGGUUGCUUACGCGAAUGCUUGUCGCUUUGAGCAAUAUAUGAAUAGGUGCGAAUGGCAAACCUCAAGCAUGCUAGCAUGCCAGUGUGUCUGAAAAUAGAAGUACAUGCAUAUAUCUAUAUGGUACGGCGAGCGAUAUAUAUAUUUUUGGUUCUAUGCAUAGUUUCUUUCAAAUAUUCAAGUUGGAUGAAUACAGAAUGGCUGUCCGUUGGCAGCAGAUAUCAACAUAGAUGCUAGUACAACUUUGAACUACAGAAUGGCCGCCCAUUAUUUUAUUGCCUGUAAUAUUGGAAUUACGAACGAAAUCUUCGAACUACAAAGCAAUCAAUCAACGUUGCAUAAUAUCAAGAGUUGAAUAAUAAAGACUAUAAUUCUUGAUGAUAUAUCAACGCAUGGCUAAUUAUUCUUACGCAUGAGGAAUACACACAUCAUGGUUUUUGUAUAUAUUAACUUC